GAACUGCUGAGGAGUCCCACAUUAGAACGAAACAGCUGUCCAGUGU
rnacentral:hammerhead_ribozyme from 1 species